UACGGAGGAUGCGAGCGUUAUCCGGAUUUACUGGGUGUAAAGGGUGCGUAGGCGGCCCUGCAAGUCAGAAGUGAAAUCCAUGGGCUUAACCCGUGAACUGCUUUUGAAACUGCAGGACUUGAGUGGAGUAGAGGUAGGCGGAAUUCCCGGUGUAGCGGUGAAAUGCGUAGAGAUCGGGAGGAACACCAGUGGCGAAGGCGGCUUACUGGACUGUAACUGACGUUGAGGCUCGAAAGCGUGGGGAGCAAACAGG
rnacentral:rRNA from 1 species